rnacentral:rRNA from 1 species
GACGAACGCUGGCGGCGUGCUUAACACAUGCAAGUCGAACGGAAAGGCCCUGCUUUUGUGGGGUGCUCGAGUGGCGAACGGGUGAGUAACACGUGAGUAACCUGCCCUUGACUUUGGGAUAACUUCAGGAAACUGGGGCUAAUACCGGAUAGGAGCUCCUGCUGCAUGGUGGGGGUUGGAAAGUUUCGGCGGUUGGGGAUGGACUCGCGGCUUAUCAGCUUGUUGGUGGGGUAGUGGCUUACCAAGGCUUUGACGGGUAGCCGGCCUGAGAGGGUGACCGGCCACAUUGGGACUGAGAUACGGCCCAGACUCCUACGGGAGGCAGCAGUGGAGAAUAUUGCACAGUGGGCGGAAGCCUGAUGCAGCACCGCCGCGUGCGGGAUGACGGCCUUCGGGUUGUAAACCGCUUUCGCCUGUGACGAAGCGUGAGUGACGGUAAUGGGUAAAGAAGCACCGGCUAACUACGUG